UACGUAGGCAGCAAGCGUUGUUCGGAGUUACUGGGCGUAAAGAGUGCGUAGGCGGUGUCGAAAGUUUGGCGUGAAAUCUCCCGGCUUAACUGGGAGGGUGCGCCGAAAACUGCGACGCUGGAGUGUGGGAAAGGCAAGCGGAAUUCCUGGUGUAGCGGUGAAAUGCGUAGAUAUCGAGGAGGAACACCGGCGGUGUGAGACGGCUUGCUAGACCAUAACUGACGCUGAGGCACGAAAGCGUGGGUAGCAAACAGG
rnacentral:rRNA from 1 species